GAUGAACGCUAGCGGCAGGCCUAAUACAUGCAAGUCGGACGGGAUCCAUUGAUAGCUUGCUAUCAAUGGUGAGAGUGGCGCACGGGUGCGUAACGCGUGAGCAACCUGCCUCCAUCAGGGGGAUAGCCUCUCGAAAGAGAGAUUAACACCGCAUAAUAUCAACAGUUCGCAUGUUCAGUUGAUUAAAUAUUUAUAGGAUGGAGAUGGGCUCGCGUGACAUUAGCUAGUUGGUAGGGUAACGGCUUACCAAGGCGACGAUGUCUAGGGGCUCUGAGAGGAGAAUCCCCCACACUGGUACUGAGACACGGACCAGACUCCUACGGGAGGCAGCAGUAAGGAAGAUUGGUCAAUGGGCGGAAGCCUGAACCAGCCAUGCCGCGUGCAGGAUGACUGCCCUAUGGGUUGUAAACUGCUUUUGUCCAGGAAUAAACCUAAAUACGAGUAUUUAGCUGAAUGUACUGGAAGAAUAAGGAUCGGCUAACUCCGUG
rnacentral:rRNA from 1 species